rnacentral:rRNA from 1 species
AAGACCUUGCGCUUUUGGAGCGGCCGAUGUCUGAUUAGCUAGUUGGUGGGGUAAUGGCCUACCAAAGCUUCGAUCAGUAGCUGGUCUGAGAGGACGGCCAGCCACACUGGGACUGAGACACGGCCCAGACUCCUACGGGAGGCAGCAGUGGGGAAUUUUGGACAAUGGGCGCAAGCCUGAUCCAGCCAUGCCGCGUGAGUGAAGAAGGCCUUCGGGUUGUAAAGCUCUUUCAGCCGGGAAGAAAAGGCUGCGACUAAUAAUCGCAGUUCAUGACGGUACCGGAAGAAGAAGCACCGGCUAACUACGUGCCAGCAGCCGCGGUAAUACGUAGGGUGCGAGCGUUAAUCGGAAUUGCUGGGCGUAAAGGGUGCGCAGGCGGUUUUGUAAGUCAGAUGUGAAAUCCCCGGGCUUAACCUGGGAACU